rnacentral:rRNA from 1 species
GAUGAACGCUGGCGGCGUGCCUAAUACAUGCAAGUCGAGCGAACAGACGAGGAGCUUGCUCCUCUGACGUUAGCGGCGGACGGGUGAGUAACACGUGGAUAACCUACCUAUAAGACUGAGAUAACUUCGGGAAACCGGAGCUAAUACCGGAUAAUAUAUUGAACCGCAUGGUUCAAUAGUGAAAGACGGUUUUGCUGUCACUUAUAGAGGGAUCCGCGCCGCAUUAGCUAGUUGGUAAGGUAACGGCUUACCAAGGCAACGAUGCGUAGCCGACCUGAGAGGGUGAUCGGCCACACUGGAACUGAGACACGGUCCAGACUCCUACGGGAGGCAGCAGUAGGGAAUCUUCCGCAAUGGGCGAAAGCCUGACCGAGCAACGCCGCGUGAGUGAUGAAGGUCUUCGGAUCGUAAACCUCUGUUAUUAGGGACGAACCAAUGUGUAAGUAGAUAUGCGCGUCUUGACGGUACCUAAUCAGAAAGCCCCGGCUAACUACGUG